rnacentral:rRNA from 1 species
GCCAUGCAUGUGUAAGUAUAAAUAUUUGACUUUGAAACUGCGAAUGGCUCAUUAUAUCAGUUAUAGUUUAUUUGAUGAACAAUACUACUUGGAUAACCGUAGUAAUUCUAGAGCUAAUACAUGAUAAAAUCCUCGACUUUGAAGAGGUGUAUUUAUUAGAAUGAAACCAAGAGACUUCGGUCUAUUUGUGAGUAAUAAUAACUAAUCGUAUCGCAUGCUUAGGUAGCGAUAUGUCUUUCAAGUUUCUGCCCUAUCAGCUUUGGAUGGUAGUGUAUUGGACUACCAUGGCAGUAACGGGUAACGAAGAAUUUGGGUUCGAUUUCGGAGAGGGAGCCUGAGAGAUGGCUACCACAUCCAAGGAAGGCAGCAGGCGCGUAAAUUACCCAAUCCUGACAUAGGGAGGUAGUGACAAUAAAUCACAAUGCGGAACUAUUGUUUUGCAAUUGGAUUGAGAACAAUGUACAAAUGUUAUCGAUAAACAAUUGGAGGGCAAGUCUGGUGCCAGCAGCCGCGGUAAUUCCAGCUCCAAUAGCGUAUAUUAACGUUGUUGCAGUUAAAAAAGCUCA